rnacentral:lncRNA from 10 species
UCUAAGUGAAGUAACUCAGGAAUGGAAAACCAAAUGUCGUAUGUUUUCACUGAUAUGUGGCAGCUAAGCUAUGAGGACACAAAGGCAUAAGAAUUAUACAAUGGACUUUGGGGACUUAUGGGGAAGAGUGGGAGGGAAGUGAGGGAUAAAAGACAACAUAUAUGGUGCAGUUGUAUACUGUGUAGGUGAUGAGUGCACCAAAAUCUCACAAAUCACCACUAAAGAACUUAUUCAUAUAACCAAAUACCAUGUGUACCCCAAUAACUUAUGGAAAAAUAAAUAAAUAAAUAAAGUGUUAAAGAAAUAUCACAAUGGAACAAGGCCCCUAGAAAUUAACCUGAGUGCUGAAGCACUUUGUGAGCUAGAAUCCGAGACAAAAUAGUAAUUGCAAUGGUCUAUUACCUUGAUUUGUCCAGAGCUGAGGAGUCUCCCA